GAUGAACGCUGGCGGCGUGCCUAAUACAUGCAAGUCGAGCGAACGGACGAGAAGCUUGCUUCUCUGAUGUUAGCGGCGGACGGGUGAGUAACACGUGGAUAACCUACCUAUAAGACUGGGAUAACUUCGGGAAACCGGAGCUAAUACCGGAUAAUAUUUUGAACCGCAUGGUUCAAAAGUGAAAGACGGUCUUGCUGUCACUUAUAGAUGGAUCCGCGCUGCAUUAGCUAGUUGGUAAGGUAACGGCUUACCAAGGCAACGAUGCAUAGCCGACCUGAGAGGGUGAUCGGCCACACUGGAACUGAGACACGGUCCAGACUCCUACGGGAGGCAGCAGUAGGGAAUCUUCCGCAAUGGGCGAAAGCCUGACGGAGCAACGCCGCGUGAGUGAUGAAGGUCUUCGGAUCGUAAAACUCUGUUAUUAUGGAAGAACAUAUGUGUAAGUAACAGUGCACAUCUUGACGGUACCUAAUCAGAAAGCCACGGCUAACUACGUG
rnacentral:rRNA from 1 species